GCCAGGUGUGGUGGCGCACACCUGUAAUCUCAGUACUGGAGAGGCUGAGGCAUGAGAAUAGCUUGAACCCAGGAGGCAGAGGCUGCAGUGAGCCGAGAUCAUGCCACUGCACUCCAGCCUGGGUGACAGAGCAAGACUCUGUCUCAA
rnacentral:SRP_RNA from 1 species